rnacentral:sRNA from 1 species
ACUUGGGAAGCCGACAGCAAGGUGCUUUCCGAGCCCCAGUUACUCUUCUACCUCCCCUUGCCUGAAGGGGCCACAGCCCAGAGGCUCAGCACCCACCUCAUCGCCUCUGUGACUAUGACAGUCACUCAUGAGAGGAAGAAAUGUCUGUGUCUGGGCAAGGAGGCUUCUCUCUUCCCAGCAUCCUCUGCGUUUUCCCAGUGUUGGGUCCUUUGUGGGUGCGCCGCCCUCCUGCACUUCUGCUUUUCCCUUCUUGUGGGGUGCAGUAUUUUCCAGAGGCUUUCCCUGAGGAGUGGUCCCGUGAGGUAGUCCGUGGAGCCUACUCCACACUGUGUUCUUUUGGUCCAACCCAGAGGCUCUGAGAGCUACACCUAUGGUUCAGUGAGUCAGCCAGAUGUGUGAUUCCAGCCCUUGGCUGCAGACUGGUUACAGAAGAUGUGAAUUCAAGUAUCAAGACAUUUUUUUGUCCCAAUGAUACCUACAAUGACAUGGCCACACUCUUCUUCAACCCGCAGGAGUCUGCCAUCCUCCAGCUCUUCCACCAGGAUAGUACUUUCAGCCCCGUCACUCUGGCCUUGUUCUUCGUUCUCUAUUUCUUGCUUGCGUGUUGGACUUACGGCAUUUCUGUUCCAAGUGGCCUUUUUGUGCCUUCUCUGCUGUGUGGAGCUGCUUUUGGACGUUUAGUUGCCAAUGUCCUAAAAAGCUACAUUGGAUUGGGCCACAUCUAUUCGGGGACCUUUGCCCUGAUUGGCGCAGCGGCUUUCUUGGGCGGGGUG